CCUCACUGUAUUGUCAAGGGAGGAGCCAGUAAGACACAUAAUAAACGUCAUUGAUCAAAUCUUGGUAGGACGUAUGCGAGUGCAAAGGACAGAGAAGCCAGUUCCACUUGGGGUGCAGAAGGGCUUAACUUUAAUUUCGUUCCACAGCCCAGGAACCAGCGGGUUCCAGAAGCUUUCGGGGCUCCAUCUGACACAAGAAUUGUCAUCUAGUAUGUGAAUGAUGACAUAGGGGACGAGACCCUGACCGUCCGACACAGUAGAGCUCCAUGAAUGACUUAUCCAUGAAGAUGAGUCCCGUUGGGUUUCUCCCACCGGCAGUGGUUUCUGCCCUCGUCUGCUGGCGAAAGUUCCCGGGGCGUGAACAGAGCCAGCAUGGAGAAUUCCUCUUCUGCACGCACGCUAGUGAGCCACUGAGCAUCAUGGACACUUGCGGGGCUCGUGGGGACCUUGGAGGACACGUGGUCAACUAGCUGAUGUUAUGGACGAUGUAUACAUCUUCACAAAGCCCUUGGCCACACAGCAGAGUGGUGCGGGUGCCCGAAUCCUGGCCGAGCAACUUCCCAAUGGAGUGGCCUCUGGGAAGCUACUGUCCUUCACUUUAUCUGUAAAAUGGUUAUGCGGCUAAAUCGAGGCAGGGUGUAACGAGAGAGAUGGGGAGGCGGAUGCGACGCCUUCUACGUUGGCCGCCAGAAGGAGCCUGCCGGCCGUGGAACCCACUGAGGUCCUGUUAGAGCCAUGAGCCUCGGGGAAAACAGCCUUGCCACCCCAAGAAGGGGGAGGACUCCCCAAGGGUUAAAAGACUCGCAUUCCCAAAGUCACCCAAAGGUCCUUCUUAUCAUAUGAUCUGGCAAACAGCUGCCUUUACUGGAGGCAGUUGCACAGUUAGGUGCUAAAAGUCUCCGUGGUAAACGCAUCAUGUACGGCGUGAAGUCACAUGUGCCUUUCCGAGAGCCAAGAUCUUGCAAAGGUAUGAAAACAAGAACAAAACAAACCUUCCCGUGGAGGCACAGAAAAGAUCCAGUCAGCUCCUCGUUUCUGACCAGCCUGCGGUUCGGAAAUAGGGAGAGUGUUCUCCAACAAACACACAACAACAGCAGAUAGCCAAAGAACAAACAAGAGAAACAGCAAACAGAAAUGUCACACACAUUCAGAGACCUGUUUGUUUAGCUGGAAUAUUCUACUGACGGUUACAUAAAGGAGGAGGGGAGCACCAAGGAUCCAGGUGGAGAACCUGAAAAAAAGAAGAAGGAAAAAAAAAAAAAACCAACUUGUUUUGGUCUGAUGUGGGGAGAAGUUUGAAACGUUUGGGAGAGCGCGUCCUAGAGAAAAGACCAGGAAAAGUGGAAGAAUGCCGAAUGUGUUCCGUAAUGACCUCAUGGCACUCUCAUUACACAGGAAUUCAGGGCUCCGGCAGAGCGACGAAAAGAGUGCUGCAGUUAAGCAGAUCUGCCUGGUUUACUUGGCACAAACCAUAAAAAGACAUCAGUAUCUCUCUCCACCUUCUGGAGGCUCCAAAGUCCCCUCCUGGCUGCGGCGGUCAGGCCGAGCCUGGGGGCCCCAGUGGCCAUCCAGCACCCAGGGUGAGCCUGUAGAAGGCUGUCCAGCUCCAGUCCUCCCGGGGCCUGUCCAUCAAGCUCGGAAUGAACCGAACCUUCUCAGUGAGACUUGCAACACCCACAUGCUUUGCUUUUCCAGGGCAGCCUCCGGGAGGUCAGGACUUUAUCUGCACGUCUGCAGCACCAACAGGGCCCAGUGUUGGGGAACUGUCGUCAAAGAUCAGUCUCCUGCCAACCCAGAGAAGCCUCUCCACAAAGCUACCUUCUACACAGCGAUGAUUAACGCUGCAGAUGGCCGUUGGCCAUUACCUCUCAGCCUCUCCUCUCUGGGCUGGCGGAGGGCAGAACGGAGUUUUCCCGCUUACAUCACAUCCUCAGCCUUCCUGGCGCUGCCUUUUUAACGUGUGUUUAUUUUUGAGAGACAGAGAGACGGAGCACCAAAGCGGGCCCCGGGGUUCCGAGCUGUCCGCACGGAGCCCGACGCAGGGCUCGAACCCACGAACCAUGAGAUCGUGACCCGAGCCAAAGUCUGACGCUGAACCGACUGAGCCACACGGGUGCCCCCCCCCCGCCCGCCCUGGCACUGUCUUUGGCGCUGUCCGUGUCCCGUGUUUUCUGGGGGCCUCACUGGCCAUGUUGGGAGCACUGCCCGGGAAACCUUUUUGCGCUCAGGCUGGUCAACCCUGCCCCGUGCCCCCAGGGAAGGCCCUGUGUGUCUUGCCCUAUGGUGAUCUCUCACCAAGUGUGAAAUAAACAAAUGCUCUCAGGUCA